CCUACGGGUGGCAGCAGUGGGGAAUAUUGCACAAUGGGGGAAACCCUGAUGCAGCGACGCCGCGUGAAGGAAGAAGGAUUUCGGUAUGUAAACUUCUAUCAGCAGGGAAGAAAAUGACGGUACCUGACUAAGAAGCCCCGGCUAACUACGUGCCAGCAGCCGCGGUAAUACGUAGGGGGCAAGCGUUAUCCGGAUUUAGUGGGGGUAAAGGGGGCGUAGGCGGUUUAGCAAGUCAGAAGUGAAAGCCCGGGGCGCAAAUCCGGGACGGCUUUUGAAACUGUUGAACUAGAUUGCGGGAGAGGUAAGUGGAAUUCCUAGUGUAGCGGUGAAAUGCGUAGAUAUUAGGAGGAACACCAGUGGCGAAGGCGGCUUACUGGACUGUAAAUGACGCUGAGGCUCGAAAGCGUGGGGAGCAAACAGGAUUAGAUACCCCUGUAGUC
rnacentral:rRNA from 1 species